rnacentral:rRNA from 1 species
GAUUAAAGAGCGCUAUCGGAUGAGCCUAGGUCGGAUUAGCUAGUUGCGCUAGGUAAUGGCUCACCAAGGCUACGAUCCGUAACUGGUCUGAGAGGAUGAUCAGUCACACUGGAACUGAGACACGGUCCAGACUCCUACGGGAGGCAGCAGUGGGGAAUAUUGGACAAUGGGCGAAAGCCUGAUCCAGCCAUGCCGCGUGUGUGAAGAAGGUCUUCGGAUUGUAAAGCACUUUAAGUUGGGAGGAAGGGCUGUAGGCUAAUAUCCUGCAGUUUUGACGUUACCAACAGAAUAAGCACCGGCUAACUUCGUGCCAGCAGCCGCGGUAAUACGAAGGGUGCAAGCGUUAAUCGGAAUUACUGGGCGUAAAGCGCGCGUAGGUGGUUUUGUAAGUUGGAUGUGAAAGCCCCGGGCUCAACCUGGGAACUGCAUCCAAAACUGCAUGACUAGAGUACGGUAGAGGGUGGUGGAAUUUCCUGUGUAGCGGUGAAAUGCGUAGAUAUAGGAAGGAACACCAGUG